UAGGGAAUCUUCCACAAUGGACGCAAGUCUGAUGGAGCAACGCCGCGUGAGUGAAGAAGGUUUUCGGACCGUAAAGCUCUGUUGUUGGUGAAGAAGGAUAGAGGUAGUAACUGGCCUUUAUUUGACGGUAAUCAACCAGAAAGUCACGGCUAACUACGUGCCAGCAGCCGCGGUAAUACGUAGGUGGCAAGCGUUGUCCGGAUUUAUUGGGCGUAAAGCGAGCGCAGGCGGAAGAAUAAGUCUGAUGUGAAAGCCCUCGGCUUAACCGAGGAAUUGCAUCGGAAACUGUUUUCUUGAGUGCAGAAGAGGAGAGUAGAACUCCAUGUGUAGCGGUGGAAUGCGUAGAUUAUAUGGAAGAAUACCAGUGGCGAAGGCGGCUCUCUGGUCUGCAACUGACGCUGAGGCUCGAAAGCAUGGUAGCGAACAGGAUUAGAUACCUUGGUAGUCCAUGCCGUAAACGAUGAGUGCUAAGUGUUGGGAGGCUUCCGCCUCUCAGUGCUGCAGCUAACGCAUUAAGCACUCCGCCUGGGGGAGUACGACCGCAAGGUUGAAAC
rnacentral:rRNA from 1 species